UACAUUAGAAAUGGGAUGGACAAAUGGGAAGAUUGUAGAUAGGUGCUCAUAAAAAGAGUUACAGAUGUCUGGUACGCUGGUGCAUGAAGCCAUAUUCGCAAUUAGUAAACACAUUUUGUGUAGCAUUAAAGGGUGUAACUACAAUAUGCUCUCGUUGGAGUAACUACAAUAUGCUCUCGUAAUUAGUGAGGAUUGUUUGGGCAAAUAGUUAGAAAUUCUAACGCACGUUUCUUUGUCUCUCUCUCUCUCUCUAGAAAAUAGAGAGUGACAGUCUCCCUCUAAGCAACGCCUUCCUUCUAUGUGUUGGUCCGCAUGCCAAUUUGGUCACAGUUGUGGGGACGUAGUUGGGCGCAUUAGAGGCAAGAAAACAGCACCCAAGCCUUAUUCGCCAACCAUCAAGGCAGCAGCCCCAUACAUCCCUUGCAUAACCUUACACGUGCCGCACCUAUCAACACACGUGACAAACCUCCGAAGCAAUUUGACACGUGUGUACUCUCUCUCCCGCCUUGUGCAUUUCACCAGUUAACUGUGAUUCCCAUGCUGCCCUCCUCCCAUUGGCCACCUUGCCCCCAGCCCUAAUCCUAUAAAACACUGCAAAUGCUGCUUCCUCACUCUUCUUCUACACCACCACCAUCCUCCCUCCCCGUCCUGCAUGUUACCAUCUCUCAUCCCCAAAGGGUCCC
rnacentral:lncRNA from 1 species